rnacentral:rRNA from 1 species
CAUUGUGGUUAAUUCGAUGAUACGCGAGGUAACCUUACCUGGCUUAAAUGUAGAGUGCGAUGGGGUAGAAAUAUCCCUUUCCUUCGGGACUCUUUGCAGGUGCUGCAUGGUUGUCGUCAGCUCGUGCCGUGAGGUGUCGGGUUAAGUCCCAUAACGAGCGCAACCCUUAUCGUUAGUUGCCAUCAGGUAAAGCUGGGAACUCUGGGGAGACUGCCGGUGAUAAACCGGAGGAAGGCGGGGAUGACGUCAAGUCCUCAUGGCCCUUACAUCCCGGGCUACACACGUGCUACAAUGGCAGGUACAGAGGGCUGCGAAGCCGCGAGGUGGAGCGAAAUCCCAGAAAACCUGUCUCAGUCCGGAUUGAAGUCUGCAACUCGACUUCAUGAAGGCGGAAUCGCUAGUAACCGCGAAUCAGCAGGUCGCGGUGAAUACGUUCCCGGGCCUU